CCCCAUUGUAACUAAUCAAACUAUUUUAGGUCUGACCUCUUACCUUAGGCCCGCCAGAUGCUGCUCCCCACGUCCCCUAUCACAGCCAGAGAACCGGAAGCUCUCUGUUUGAGCUGAGCUCUGCAGUUCAGGGCUUAGCUCAGUAGAUCUAACGGAAACUCCUAAGCAGGAGGUUCCAGCUCUCUGGCUUGAGUAGUGGGAGCAGGGAGUGACACCUAGCAGAGCCCAGGAAUGAAGUCAAACCAUUCUAAAAAGGUUUAAUGGGGGAUGUGCGGGGGCAAGAGUGCCAAAGCACCAUUGACACUAUAACCACUACAGAGUGCUGUAUUACUUAUGUUGCUUGGAGUGUUUCUUUAAAUAUAGAAG